AUGACAGGCUUGCUCGGGAAGUUGGUUGAGGGGUGGACGUCCCUUAAUGGCUCUGACAGCGAUGCGGUUGCGAGGCAGUUCACUACAUUUGUCCUAGAACGGACACAUCGGCCAACUGGUUGCCGUGGCCGGUAUGACUACAAUAGUUCCCAAGAGCUUGCUGACACACAAGAUGACCUAGAUGGAGAUGCUGGUCUCGACAAGGAUGAUGACGAUGACAUGGAGAACGUGCAACAGGACACCGAUGAUGAUGAACAUGUUGAAGUUUGUGCAGGUGGUAAGAAGGGAAAGGAUGCACCAGAUGUCCCCCCACCGGAGAAAGUCAAAGAACAUACGGCGGGAGAGGCGAUGGUGCGUUGCCAUAAAAGAGGGGGAGGGCUCCAGAGGAUGCUGGGCAGGGUUCUCCUGGCAAGAGGUCUAGGACCGAUCCCGUAG
rnacentral:rRNA from 1 species